rnacentral:rRNA from 1 species
UACAGAGGUCUCAAGCGUUGUUCGGAUUCAUUGGGCGUAAAGGGCGCGUAGGCGGCCUGUUAAGUCGAACGUGAAAUCCCCGGGCUCAACCCGGGAACUGCGUCCGAUACUGGCAGGCUUGAAUCCGGGAGAGGGAUGCGGAAUUCCGGGUGUAGCGGUGGAAUGCGUAGAUAUCCGGAAGAACACCGGUGGCGAAGGCGGCCUGCUGGGGUACCAGACGAGACUUCGGUCUGUCGGGCUGACACUGAGGCGCGACAGCGUGGGGAGCAAACAGG